rnacentral:rRNA from 1 species
AUUGAACGCUGGCGGCAGGCCUAACACAUGCAAGUCGAGCGAGCGGCGGACGGGUGAGUAAUGUCUGGGGAUCUGCCUGAUAGAGGGGGAUAACUUCUGGAAACGGUGGCUAAUACCGCAUACUAUCGGAUGAACCCAUAUGGGAUUAGCUAGUAGGUGGGGUAAAGGCUCACCUAGGCGACGAUCCCUAACUGGUCUGAGAGGAUGAUCAGCCACACUGGGACUGAGACACGGCCCAGACUCCUACGGGAGGCAGCAGUGGGGAAUAUUGGACAAUGGGCGCAAGCCUGAUGCAGCCAUGCCGCGUGUAUGAAGAAGGCCUUCGGGUUGUAAAGUACUUUCAGCUGGGAGGCGUUACCCGCAGAAUAAGCACCGGCUAACUCCGUGCCAGCAGCCGCGGUAAUUC